CUGUGUGAGGUCCGCUAGGUCCCCGGAGAGCCAGGAGGGCUGCUGUGCCUUCUUGCUGCCUUUCCUCUGUGUUGGAAUAGAUUUAGCUUGUGCAUUGAGGAUCGCUUCCUCAAGGCUACAAUUGCUCUACAAGAAACAGACUGUGCCAAAAAGGCCCAAAGAGACUACCUGUCAAAAUAGUAAUCAGAACAAAGAAGUAAAUGUAGCUGAAACGAUACACUUGAGAGACUCGCUGCCUAACUGUGACCAAUCGCUAAUUAGGUCUCAUCAGGAAGGUCUUGGCUUCACAGAGCAGAUCCUAUCAGUGCAAAAUCUCCAUGAGAAUCCAAUGACGAAUAGCACCGCUCGAAAGCAAUCUACAGACAAAGACAGACUGGCCAUCUCUGAGGUCCUAAGCCCUGCUGAAAAUGGAAGGUCUGAUGCUCUUCUUGAGGCACAGGCUCGGGCAGAAGACACUGAAAUGUCACAGAGUGGAGGUUUUGCUUUUACAUCAGCGAACAGAAAUGUCUCCCCUGAAACAUUUUUUUCAGACUUGAAGAGUAAUCAAAAGCAAUGCUGACUAGAGAAUGGGAGCCCUGGUUAUGACUGGCUUGUGAGGGCCGAACAGCUUUGACAUACGUUAUAUCUACUAGAGAUAUCUCUAACACUUCUGAGAGCUGUCUGGAUUCAUCAUUUUUGAGGGCUACAGUGUAGUGGAGGUAAAAAAAAAAAAAAAAAUGUGUGGUCAUUUUAAGAGGAGGUUGGCAUAAUGUCUCAGGUAUGCUGUGGGCAUUGGGCAUUGCUGUUUACCCCUCUCUUCCCCCUGCUUUCUGUUUGUGCUUGUACAAGUUAUCUCCCUCUGGCUCUACCCCCUUUGCUCACUUCAUUACAAGAGGUGAUCGGUGUUGGAGCUGAGAGAGGACUUGCUGGGCCUGAGCUUGUAGCAUCUGCUGCUGAAGUGGCCAGUGGGGAAGGGUAACUGGCAGGGAGAAUGAGGCUUUUCACCUGUUCAGGGAGAGAGAAAAGUGAAGAGGCAAGUAUCAUUUUGAAUGGUAGCAAGAAAGGGCACUAGUCCCAAAAGGUGAAGGGGUGGGAUUGGUUUUAUGGAGACUGGAUGAAUGUUCACCAGGAAGAACAUUCGACCUUCAAGAAACAUGUUGUGUCACCUUGUCUGUUUUUUCAUUACUUGUGUGUCAAACCAUUUUAAACAAAAGAAUUAGUUCUUCAUAAUUACAGCUAACAUUGAAAAAAGCACAGUUUGAGAAAAGCCUUGGGUUAACAUCUUUCUCAAAGCCACUCUUGCAAGAAAGUGGAUGAUCCUUUGAGUUGUGCCUUAAAUGAUUCCCCAUUUUUUCAAAUAGUUUCAGGUGUAGUUAUUGAAAAAACAACAAAACUUUCUGAUGAGCUUUGGUUAUUGACCCAUUUUAAUGGAUUCUGAAUUUGGUGUUCCAGUUGACUUUUAAGAUAAAUCUUUUAUUUUGAAAAUGCAUAGUUAAGUAUAUUUUGCACAAAGGAAAAGGAUACAUGUGCAAUGCGCUAGAUGUGGAAAUAUAUAUUUAAUUUAUACAGAGGAGUUUAGCUAACUGACUUUAAUUUUUAUUCCUUGCAUGAACUGAAGUGAAGUGGUCUGAAGGGGAAGGCAGUUAUUUAAUGAUUCAGUUCUUUUUAUGUGAAUUGUAAGAAAGUAAGCUAAUGAUAAAACCUAUAAAUAAAGUUCCUAUUUCAUAAAUGAAGAAGAGGGGG
ensembl:lncRNA